rnacentral:ncRNA from 2 species
ACAAACGACACGGGGUGUCCUGGCAUUACGUCAGGGCUGAGAUAAGACCCGCUGAACCUGAUCCAGUUCAUACCGGCGAAGGGAUGUCACGCUAAUGGCCA